rnacentral:rRNA from 1 species
AGUGAACGCUGGCGGUAGGCCUAACACAUGCAAGUCGAACGGCAGCACAGUAAGAGCUUGCUCUUACGGGUGGCGAGUGGCGGACGGGUGAGGAAUACAUCGGAAUCUACUUUUUCGUGGGGGAUAACGUAGGGAAACUUACGCUAAUACCGCAUACGACCUACGGGUGAAAGCAGGGGAUCUUCGGACCUUGCGCUAUUGAAUGAGCCGAUGUCGGAUUAGCUAGUUGGCGGGGUAAAGGCCCACCAAGGCGACGAUCCGUAGCUGGUCUGAGAGGAUGAUCAGCCACACUGGAACUGAGACACGGUCCAGGCUCCUACGGGAGGCAGCAGUGGGGAAUAUUGGACAAUGGGCGCAAGCCUGAUCCAGCCAUACCGCGUGGGUGAAGAAGGCCUUCGGGUUGUAAAGCCCUUUUGUUGGGAAAGAAAAGCAGCAGGUUAAUACCCCGCUGUUCUGACGGUACCCAAAGAAUAAGCACCGGCUAACUUCGUG